rnacentral:rRNA from 1 species
GUUAGUUAGUGGCGGACGGGUGAGUAACGCGUGGGUAACCUGCCGUAUACCGGGGGAUAACACCUGGAAACAGGUGCUAAUACCGCAUAAGCGCACGGGACCGCAUGGUCCAGUGUGAAAAACCGAGGUGGUAUGCGAUGGACCCGCGUCUGAUUAGCCAGUUGGCAGGGUAACGGCCUACCAAAGCGACGAUCAGUAGCCGGCCUGAGAGGGUGGACGGCCACAUUGGGACUGAGACACGGCCCAAACUCCUACGGAAGGCAGCAG